UACGGAGGGUGCGAACGUUAAUCGGAACCACUGGGCGUAAAGCGCGCGUAGGCGGUCUGUUAAGUGGGAUGUGAAAUCCCCGGGCUUAACCUGGGAAUUGCAUUUCAAACUGGCCGACUAGAGUACGGUAGAGGGAGGUAGAAUUUCCUGUGUAGCGGUGAAAUGCGUAGAUAUAGGAAGGAAUACCAGUGGCGAAGGCGGCCUCCUGGAUCGAUACUGACGCUGAGGCGCGAAAGCGUGGGGAGCAAACAGG
rnacentral:rRNA from 1 species